AGUAACUGCGAGUGAAGCGGGAAAAGCUCAAAUUUAAAAUCUGGCAGUCUUUGGCUGUCCGAGUUGUAAUCUAGAGAAGUAUUAUCCGCGCUGGACCGUGUACAAGUCUCCUGGAAUGGAGCGUCAUAGAGGGUGAGAAUCCCGUCUUUGACACGGACUGCCAGGGCUUUGUGAUGUGCUCUCAAAGAGUCGAGUUGUUUGGGAAUGCAGCUCAAAAUGGGUGGUAAAUUCCAUCUAAAGCUAAAUAUUGGCGAGAGACCGAUAGCGAACAAGUACCGUGAGGGAAAGAUGAAAAGAACUUUGGAAAGAGAGUUAAACAGUACGUGAAAUUGCUGAAAGGGAAACGCUUGAAGUCAGUCGCRUUGGCCAGGGAUCAACCUUGCUUUUUUUCAAAAGCUUGGCUUACUUUCUGGUCGAUGGGUCAGCAUCAAUUUUGACUGGUGGAAAAAGUUCAAGGGAAUGUGGCAUCUUCGGAUGUGUUAUAGCCUUUGUUCGCAUACAUCAGUUGGGAUUGAGGAACUCAGCACGCCGCAAGGCCGGGUUUUUAACCACGUACGUGCUUAGGAUGCUGGCAUAAUGGCUUUAAUCGACCCGUCUUGAAACACGGACCAAGGAGUCUAACAUGCCUGCGAGUGUUUGGGUGAAAAACCCGAGUGCGUAAUGAAAGUGAAAGUUGAGAUCCCUGUCAUGGGGAGCAUUGACGCCCGGAUCUGACCUUUUGUGA
rnacentral:rRNA from 1 species